rnacentral:rRNA from 1 species
UGCCUACGGGGGGCAGCAGUGAGGAAUAUUGGUCAAUGGCCGAGAGGCUGAACCAGCCAAGUCGCGUGAGGGAAGACGGCCCUACGGGUUGUAAACCUCUUUUGUCGGGGAGCAAAGCGAGUCACGUGUGACUCAUUGAGAGUACCCGAAGAAAAAGCAUCGGCUAACUCCGUGCCAGCAGCCGCGGUAAUACGUAGGGAGCAAGCGUUAUCCGGAUUUAUUGGGUGUAAAGGGUGCGUAGACGGGAAAACAAGUUAGUUGUGAAAUCCCUCGGCUUAACUGAGGAACUGCAACUAAAACUAUUU